rnacentral:rRNA from 1 species
UUUCAAAUUUCUAAGAGCAAACGGUGGAUGCCUUGGCAUCUGGAGCCGAAGAAGGACGUAGUAAUCUGCGAUAAGCCUCGGGGAGCUGAUAAACGAGCUGUGAUCCGAGGAUUUCCGAAUGGGGAAACCCCGCCAGGCCCCUUGUGGUGAUCUGGUGACUCCCGCCUGAAUAUAUAGGGCGGGUAGAGGGAACGGGGGGAAGUGAAACAUCUCAGUACCCCCAGGAAGAGAAAACAACAGUGAUUCCGUCAGUAGUGGCGAGCGAAAUCGGAAGAGGCUAAACCGGGCAUGUGUGAUAGCUAUCAGGCGUUGCAUGUCCGGGGUUGUGGGACUUCUCACUCCGAACUGAUAUUCGGGGAGCAUUAGAACGUGGUAUAGACGAAUGGGAUUGAAAGCCCAGCCAGAGACGGUGCCAGCCCGGUAGUCGAAAUGCUGCAAUCGUGCGAGGAGUAUCCCAAGUAGCACGGGGCCCGAGAAAUCCCGUGUGAAUCUGUCAGGACCACCUGAUAAGCCUAAAUACUCCCAGAUGACCGAUAGCGGACAAGUACCGUGAGGGAAAGGUGAAAAGUACCCCGGGAGGGGAGUGAAAUAGUACCUGAAACCGUUUGCUUACAAACCGUUGGAGCACCCUUGU